rnacentral:rRNA from 1 species
UAGACCUCAAAUCAGGUGGGAUUACCCGCUGAACUUAAGCAUAUCAAUAAGCGGAGGAAAAGAAACUAACCAGGAUUCCCCCAGUAACGGCGAGUGAAGAGGGAAGAGCCCAAAUU